AUUGAACGCUGGCGGCAUGCCUUACACAUGCAAGUCGAACGGCAGCACGGGAGCUUGCUCCUGGUGGCGAGUGGCGAACGGGUGAGUAAUACAUCGGAACGUACCCAGGAGUGGGGGAUAACGUAGCGAAAGUUACGCUAAUACCGCAUAUUCUGUGAGCAGGAAAGCGGGGGAUCGCAAGACCUCGCGCUCUUGGAGCGGCCGAUGUGGGGUUAGCUAGUUGGUGAGGUAAAAGCUCACCAAGGUGACGAUCCGUAGCAGGUCUGAGAGGACGAUCUGCCACACGGGGACUGAGAACCGGCCCAGACUCCUACGGGAGGCAGCAGUGGGGAAUUUUGGACAAUGGGGGCAACCCUGAUCCAGCCAUGCCGCGUGAGUGAAGAAGGCCUUCGGGUUGUAAAGCUCUGUCGGCGGGGAAGAAAUGGCAACGGCUAAUAUCCGUUGUUGAUGACGGUACCCGCAUAAGAAGCACCGGCUAACUACGUGCCAGCCGCCGCAGUAAUAC
rnacentral:rRNA from 1 species